AAACCGUUGAAAGGGAAGCGAAUGGAGUUAGCAAUUCGCCCCGCCAGAUUCAGUUGCUCGCACGUCGCGACGUACGCGCUCUCGAUCCGCAUGGACGAGACGUGUGCGGGUGCGACGUGCGGUCUGCGCACUUCUGGCGAGCGAGCGUCAGCGUCGGUUGUCGACGGGCGACAAGGACACGAGGAAGGUGGACUGGCCUUUACGGCCGGUUGUUACAGCCUCGUGCUCGCAUAGCUCGACGGCGACCGUGGCUCGGCGACGCGUGCCUGGCUGGUGACUCGAACGAUCGGUCCGGCAUGUCGACCGCGGCGGACGGCACGCCUGUGCGCUCRAACUGCUGCCGGCCGAUMGGACGRUGUUCACACACCACGCGUCAAAGAUGCUGACGGCCAUACGGCUCCAUCCGACCCGUCUUGAAACACGGACCAAGGAGUCUAACAUGUGCGCGAGUCUCCGGGUGAUCGAAACCCGUGGGCACAAUGAAAGUAAAGAUCGUCCUAGACGAUUGAGGUGAGAAGCGAAUGCCUCGGCAUUUGCGGCAUCAUCGACCGACCUAUUCUGCUCUCAGAAAGGUUUGAGUAAGAGCGUAUCUGUUGGGACCCGAAAGAUGGUGAACUAUGCCUGAAUAGGGUGAAGCCAGCGGAAACACUGG
rnacentral:rRNA from 1 species